GAACAGACAAAGAUAUAUUGAAAUAGUGUUUAACUUACUCUACAUUCUUUGUCCAGUCUGGAGGGUUACUCAUGGUCAUAAAUACGCAGUUGGUCAAAAUAGUGCACAUGAUAAGCAUGCUGAAUAAUGAAUGUACCAAAAUUUUAAUAGCUAUUUUUCUAAGAGGGUUGAAGGGUGUUAAAAUGUACAGGGCAGAGGUGGCACUGAACCGGAAGAUGGCCUUCCCUUUAUUCAAUACUAUAAAGGUCUGAAAAAGAGAAAGAAAAGACAUUUUAUCAGUGUUUAUUCACUAUAGAUUCUCAUUUAAAA
rnacentral:lncRNA from 12 species